rnacentral:rRNA from 1 species
UACAGAGGGUGCGGGCGUUAAUCGGAUUUACUGGGCGUAAAGGGCGCGUAGGCGGUUGAUUAAGUGAGAUGUGAAAUCCCUGGGCUUAACCUAGGAACUGCAUUUUAUACUGAUUGACUAGAGUAUUGUAGAGGGUAGUGGAAUUUCCGGUGUAGCGGUGAAAUGCGUAGAGAUCGGAAGGAACACCAGUGGCGAAGGCGGCUACCUGGACAAAUACUGACGCUGAGGCGCAAGAGCGUGGGGAGCAAACAGG